AGAAGUGGGGAAUUUUCCACAAUGGGCGAAAGUCUGAAGGAGCAAUGACGCCUGGACGUAGAAGGCCCACGGGUCGUAAAUUCCUUUUCUCAAACAAAAACACUGAUGGUAUCUGAAGAAUACCCCUCGCCUAACUCUGUGCCAGCAGCCGCGGCAAAACAGAGGAUGCCCGCGUUAUCCGGAAUGAUUGGGCGUAGAGGGUCUGAACGUGACUUUUUAACUCCGCCCUUAACCCCCAAGAAUCCACCCUGGAAAAGGUCGUGGAAACUACCCAGCUGCACCCCGGUAAGAGCAGAGCGACUUUCCCCGUGAAAGCGGUGAAUGCGUUCAGAUUGGGAGAGAACGCCAUUGCCAGGCACUCUGCUAGCCCAAACUGACACUGAGA
rnacentral:rRNA from 1 species